rnacentral:rRNA from 1 species
GACGAACGCUGGCGGCGUGCUUAACACAUGCAAGUCGAACGGAAAGGCCCUUGCUUGCAGGGGUACUCGAGUGGCGAACGGGUGAGUAACACGUGGGUGAUCUGCCUUGUACUUCGGGAUAAGCCUGGGAAACUGGGUCUAAUACCACAUGACAAUGGAGGACCCAUGUCUUUCAUUUAAAAGGUGCAACUGCAUCACUAUGAGAUGGACCUGCGUUGUAUUAGCUAGUUGGUGAGGUAACGGCUCACCAAGGCGACGAUACAUAGCCGACCUGAGAGGGUGAACGGCCACACUGGGACUGAGACACGGCCCAG